UGCUUCUUGAAAUCAAUAUAAGAAGUAAUUCCUGCCCAGUGAUAUUAUUCAACGGCCGCGGUAUCCUAACCGUGCAAAGGUAGCAUAAUCACUUGCCCAUUAAUUGUGGGCUAGAAUGAACGGACCAACGAAAUAAAAACUGUCUCUAUGAGUCCCAUAAAAAUUAAUCUCUAACUGAAGAGUGUUAGAUGAGAUCGAAGGACAAGAAGACCCUAUAGAGCUUCAUUUUAAUAAAGAUAUAGACUUUACUAAAAUUCGGUUGGGGCGACCAGGGAAACCCAAUCAUCCCUAACUAAAAGAUAAAUAAAUCUCAUUACUGACCCUUAAUUAAGAUCACAAAAACAAGCUACCUUAGGGAUAACAGGCUAAUCCUAUUAAAGAGUCCUUAUCAAUAAUAGGGGUUGGCACCUCGAUGUUGGCUUAGGGAAUCUAUGUGGCGCAAAAGUCACAUAAAGAUGGUUUGUUCAA
rnacentral:rRNA from 1 species